GGAGAGAUGUCCGAGUCAGGUUAUGGAGCUACGUUAAGGAGAUUCGUCUCUUGAAUACCGUAGUGGUUCGCCGCCAGGGUUCGAAUCCCUGUCUCUUCA